rnacentral:rRNA from 1 species
UGGGAUAAGCUUCAUAGUCGAAAGGGAAACAGCCCAGACCACCAGCUAAGGUCCCUAAAUAUAGAUUAAGUGGUAAAGGAUGUUUUACUACUCAGACAACCAGGAUGUUGGCUUAGAAGCAGCCAUACAUUUAAAGAGUGCGUAAUAGCUCACUGGUCAAGUGGUAGAGCGCCGAAAAUGAACGGGGCUAAAAUCUAAUACCGAAGCUGUGGACUAAUUAAAUUAGUGGUAGAGGAGCAUUGUGUAAGGGGUGAAGCUAAGUUGGAAGACGAAGUGGACUUUACAGAAGAGAGAAUGCUGGCAUGAGUAGCGAAAAGGAGGGUGAGAAUCCCUCCCGUCGAAAGCCUAAGGAUUCCUGAGGAAGGCUCGUCCUCUCAGGGUAAGUCGGGACCUAAGCCCAGGCUGAAAAGCGUAAGCGAUGGACAACAGGUUGAGAUUCCUGUACUAUCUUUGAAUGUUUAAGAGAUGUACUGACGCAGGAGGAUAUGUUGAGCGUGUGAAUGGUAGAGCACGUCUAAGCAAGUAGAUAGAGAAUAGAGGCAAAUCCCUAUUCUUAAUAUCGAGAUGUGAUGGGGAGCGAAAAAUAAGUAGUGAAGUAACAGAUUCCAAACUGCCAAGAAAAGGUACUAUUGAGUGAGAAGAUACCCGUACCAAAACCGACACAGGUAGGCAAGGAGAGAAUCCUAAGACGCGCGGAAGAACCUUUGUUAAGGAACUCGGCAAAAUGACCCCGUAACUUCGGGAGAAGGGGUACCAUUAGAUGUGAGAUACUUGCGUAUGGAGCAUAGAGUGGUCGCAGAGAAUAGGCCCAAGCAACUGUUUACCAAAAACACAAGUCUCUGCUAAAUCGAAAGAUGAAGUAUAGGGGCUGACACCUGCCCGGUGCUGGAAGGUUAAGGGGAAAUGUUAGAGCAAUCGAAGCAUAGAACUUAAGCCCCAGUAAACGGCGGCCGUAACUAUAACGGUCCUAAGGUAGCGAAAUUCCUUGUCGGGUAAGUUCCGACCCGCACGAAAGGUGUAAUGAUUUGGGCACUGUCUCAACAAAGGAUCCGGUGAAAUUGUAGUAGUCGUGAAGAUGCGACUUACCCACGAUAGGACGGAAAGACCCCGUGGAGCUUUACUGUAGGCUGGCAUUGGAAUUUGGUAUUAAAUGUACAGGAUAGGUGGGAGACAAAGAAGCGAGAGCGCCAGUUUUCGUGGAGUCACUGUUGGGAUACCACUCUUUUGAUACUAAAUUUCUAACUUGAUACUCUGAAGCGAGUAUAAGGACACUGUCAGUUGGGCAGUUUGACUGGGGCGGUCGCCUCCUAAAGAGUAACGGAGGCGUUCAAAGGUUCCCUCAGAAUGGUUGGAAAUCAUUU